rnacentral:rRNA from 1 species
AUUGAACGCUGGCGGCAUGCUUUGCACAUGCAAGUCGAACGGCAGCGGGGGCUUCGGCCUGCCGGCGAGUGGCGAACGGGUGAGUAAUGCAUCGGAACGUGCCCAUGUCGUGGGGGAUAACGUAUCGAAAGGUACGCUAAUACCGCAUACGCUCUGAGGGGGAAAGCGGGGGAUUCUUCGGAACCUCGCGCGAUUGGGGCGGCCGGUGUCGGAUUAGCUAGUAGGGGAGGUAAAGGCUCACCUAGGCGACGAUCCGUAGCGGGUCUGAGAGGAUGAUCCGCCACACUGGGACUGAGACACGGCCCAGACUCCUACGGGAGGCAGCAGUGGGGAAUUUUGGACAAUGGGCGCAAGCCUGAUCCAGCCAUGCCGCGUGAGUGAAGAAGGCCUUCGGGUUGUAAAGCUCUUUCGGCCGGGAAGAAAUCGCAUUCUCUAAUAUAGGAUGUGGAUGACGGUACCGGACUAAGAAGCACCGGCUAACUACGUGCCAGCAGCCGCCGUAA